CCUACGGGAGGCAGCAGUGGGGAAUAUUGGGCAAUGGGCGCAAGCCUGACCCAGCAACGCCGCGUGAAGGAAGAAGGCUUUCGGGUUGUAAACUUCUUUUCUCAGGGACGAAGCAAGUGACGGUACCUGAGGAAUAAGCCACGGCUAACUACGUGCCAGCAGCCGCGGUAAUACGUAGGUGGCAAGCGUUAUCCGGAUUUACUGGGUGUAAAGGGCGUGUAGGCGGGAAAGCAAGUCAGAUGUGAAAACCAUGGGCUCAACCUGGGGCCUGCAUUUGAAACUGUUUUUCUUGAGUACUGGGGAGGCAGACGGAAUUCCUAGUGUAGCGGUGAAAGGCGUAGAUAUUAGGAGGAACACCAGUGGCGAAGGCGGUCUGCUGGACAGCAACUGACGCUGAGGCGCGAAAGCGUGGGGAGCAAACAGGAUUAGAUACCCGAGUAGUC
rnacentral:rRNA from 1 species